GGGAUUGUGGCUCAGUGGUAGAGUGCUCACCUCGCAUGUAUGAGACCCUGGGUUCAAUCCUCAGCACCA
rnacentral:tRNA from 1 species